rnacentral:rRNA from 1 species
GACGAACGCUGGCGGCGUGCCUAAUACAUGCAAGUAGAACGCUGAAGGAGGAGCUUGCUCUUCUGGAUGAGUUGCGAACGGGUGAGUAACGCGUAGGUAACCUGCCUGGUAGCGGGGGAUAACUAUUGGAAACGAUAGCUAAUACCGCAUAAGAGUAGAUGUUGCAUGACAUUUGCUUAAAAGGUGCAAUUGCAUCACUACCAGAUGGACCUGCGUUGUAUUAGCUAGUUGGUGGGGUAACGGCUCACCAAGGCGACGAUACAUAGCCGACCUGAGAGGGUGAUCGGCCACACUGGGACUGAGACACGGCCCAGACUCCUACGGGAGGCAGCAGUAGGGAAUCUUCGGCAAGGGACGGAAGUCUGACCGAGCAACGCCGCGUGAGUGAAGAAGGUUUUCGGAUCGUAAAGCUCUGUUGUAAGAGAAGAACGAGUGUGAGAGUGGAAAGUUCACACUGUGACGGUAUCUUACCAGAAAGGGACGGCUAACUACGUG